UGGCUCAGGAUGAACGCUGGCGGCGUGCCUAAUACAUGCAAGUCGAGCGAACGGACGAGAAGCUUGCUUCUCUGAUGUUAGCGGCGGACGGGUGAGUAACACGUGGAUAACCUACCUAUAAGACUGGGAUAACUUCGGGAAACCGGAGCUAAUACCGGAUAAUAUUUUGAACCGCAUGGUUCAAAAGUGAAAGACGGUCUUGCUGUCACUUAUAGAUGGAUCCGCGCUGCAUUAGCUAGUUGGUAAGGUAACGGCUUACCAAGGCAACGAUGCAUAGCCGACCUGAGAGGGUGAUCGGCCACACUGGAACUGAGACACGGUCCAGACUCCUACGGGAGGCAGCAGUAGGGAAUCUUCCGCAAUGGGCGAAAGCCUGACGGAGCAACGCCGCGUGAGUGAUGAAGGUCUUCGGAUCGUAAAACUCUGUUAUUAGGGAAGAACAUAUGUGUAAGUAACUGUGCACAUCUUGACGGUACCUAAUCAGAAAGCCACGGCUAACUACGUGCCAGCAGCCGCGGUAAUACGUAGGUGGCAAGCGUUAUCCGGAAUUAUUGGGCGUAAAGCGCGCGUAGGCGGUUUUUUAAGUCUGAUGUGAAAGCCCACGGCUCAACCGUGGAGGGUCAUUGGAAACUGGAAAACUUGAGUGCAGAAGAGGAAAGUGGAAUUCCAUGUGUAGCGGUGAAAUGCGCAGAGAUAUGGAGGAACACCAGUGGCGAAGGCGACUUUCUGGUCUGUAACUGACGCUGAUGUGCGAAAGCGUGGGGAUCAAACAGGAUUAGAUACCCUGGUAGUCCACGCCGUAAACGAUGAGUGCUAAGUGUUAGGGGGUUUCCGCCCCUUAGUGCUGCAGCUAACGCAUUAAGCACUCCGCCUGGGGAGUACGACCGCAAGGUUGAAACUCAAAGGAAUUGACGGGGACCCGCACAAGCGGUGGAGCAUGUGGUUUAAUUCGAAGCAACGCGAAGAACCUUACCAAAUCUUGACAUCCUUUGACAACUCUAGAGAUAGAGCCUUCCCCUUCGGGGGACAAAGUGACAGGUGGUGCAUGGUUGUCGUCAGCUCGUGUCGUGAGAUGUUGGGUUAAGUCCCGCAACGAGCGCAACCCUUAAGCUUAGUUGCCAUCAUUAAGUUGGGCACUCUAAGUUGACUGCCGGUGACAAACCGGAGGAAGGUGGGGAUGACGUCAAAUCAUCAUGCCCCUUAUGAUUUGGGCUACACACGUGCUACAAUGGACAAUACAAAGGGCAGCGAAACCGCGAGGUCAAGCAAAUCCCAUAAAGUUGUUCUCAGUUCGGAUUGUAGUCUGCAACUCGACUACAUGAAGCUGGAAUCGCUAGUAAUCGUAGAUCAGCAUGCUACGGUGAAUACGUUCCCGGGUCUUGUACACACCGCCCGUCACACCACGAGAGUUUGUAACACCCGAAGCCGGUGGAGUAACCUUUUAGGAGCUAGCCGUCGAAGGUGGGACAAAUGAUUGGGGUGAAGUCGUAACAAGGUAGCCGUAUCGGAAGGUGCGGCUGGAUCACCUCCUUU
rnacentral:rRNA from 2 species